GGUUGAUCCUGCCAGUAGUCAUAUGCUUGUCUCAAAGAUUAAGCCAUGCAUGUCUCAGUACAAGCCAAAUUAAGGUGAAACCGCGAAAGGCUCAUUAAAUCAGUUAUGGUUCCUUAGAUCGUACCCACAAUUACUUGGAUAACUGUGGUAAUUCUAGAGCUAAUACAUGCAAACAGAGCUCCGACCGGAGACGGAAGGAGUGCUUUUAUUAGAUCAAAACCAAUCGGUGGCGGGUUCGCUCGUCAUCGUACAACUUGGUGACUCUGAAUAACUUUACGCUGAUCGCACGGUCUUCGCACCGGCGACGCAUCUUUCAAAUGUCUGCCUUAUCAACUGUCGAUGGUAGGUUCUGCGCCUACCAUGGUUGUAACGGGUAACGGGGAAUCAGGGUUCGAUUCCGGAGAGGGAGCCUGAGAAACGGCUACCACAUCCAAGGAAGGCAGCAGGCGCGCAAAUUACCCACUCCCGGCACGGGGAGGUAGUGACGAAAAAUAACGAUACGGGACUCAUCCGAGGCCCCGUAAUCGGAAUGAGUACACUCUAAACCCUUUAACGAGGAUCAAUUGGAGGGCAAGUCUGGUGCCAGCAGCCGCGGUAAUUCCAGCUCCAAUAGCGUAUAUUAAAG
rnacentral:rRNA from 1 species